GAUGAACGCUGGCGGCGUGCCUAAUACAUGCAAGUCGAGCGAACGGACGAGAAGCUUGCGUCUCUGAUGUUAGCGGCGGACGGGUGAGUAACACGUGGAUAACCUACCUAUAAGACUGGGAUAACUUCGGGAAACCGGAGCUAAUAACGGAUAAUAUUUUGAACCGCUUGGUUCAAAAGUGAAAGACGGUCUUGCUGUCACUAAUAGAUGGAUCCGCGUUGGAUUAGCUAGUUGGUAAGGUAACGGCUUACCAAGGCAACGAUGCAUAGCCGACCUGAGAGGAUGAUCGGCCACACUGGAACUGAGACACGGUCCAGACUCCUACGGGAGGCAGCAGUAGGGAAUCUUGCGCAAUGGGCGAAAGCCUGACGGAGCAACGCCGCGUGAGUGAUGAAGGUCUUCGGAUCGUAAAACUCUGUUAUUAGGGAAGAAAAUAUGUGUAAGUAACUGUGCACAUCUUGACGGUACCUAAUCAGAAAGCAACGGCUAACUACGUG
rnacentral:rRNA from 1 species